CGAAGACGGGCCUAAAGCUGAAGUCAAAGGGCAUUUCUUCGUCGGACGGCCGUGAUCGUAUCUCCUCUCUCGUGAUGGCAUCACUGCAGGAGAGGCGCCUUCUUCCAGAAAGUGGCUGCCGGCAAAGCUAUUAGUCAAAAGCACGAUAGGAAAAGGGCGUGGGUCAAGUUGACGUUGGAGAAUAUGCUUUAAACCUAUAAACAAAGGCAAAUGGUGGGAUAGAGUACGGAUCAUUCGCUGGAAUCAAGACGCUUCCAUGAUUGAUUAAUCGCAAUUGUGACCAUUGCU